rnacentral:rRNA from 1 species
UACGAAGGGUGCAAGCGUUAUUCGGAUUCAUUGGGUUUAAAGGGUGUGUAGGUGGGGCGUUAAGUCAGUGGUGAAAGCCCGCAGCUCAACUGUGGAAUUGCCAUUGAUACUGGCGCUCUUGAGUGCGCUUGAAGUAGGCGGAAUGUGCCGUGUAGCGGUGAAAUGCUUAGAUAUGGCACAGAACACCAAUUGCGAAGGCAGCUUACUAAGGCGAUACUGACGCUGAGGCACGAAAGCGUGGGGAUCAAACAGGAUUAGAUACCCUGGUAGUCCACGCCGUAAACGAUGAUCACUCGUGAUUGGCGAUAUACGGUCAGUCACCUAGCGAAAGCGUUAAGUGAUCCACCUGGGGAGUACGAUCGCAAGAUUGAA